CAUUUUCUCAACAUCUUCUCUCUCUCACAUCGUUAACCCAUCGGAAUAACCAUUUUUGGCAAGGUUCCAACCACCAAACCUUCUUUAUCUUCCCCUUUACCACAAGACCAACAACUCCAUGCCUCCGCUCUCUGUUGUCAGCCACCCGAAGAAUCAAGAAAACACUACAAACCACCACAGCCAACCCAUGCGCCGCCUCUCUUUGAUCUUCACCACUGCUGGCUCGCCGGAGUUGUGACCGGCGAGAUCCAACUAAGAAACUGCCACGCGCCACCACCCAAGCCCAUAUCUGCCGCCAUCAGCCACAUCGCGGCAGCCACCCCCUUUUUCUUCCCCUUUCGGUUUUGCUCAUCUAGAACUGGCCAUUAAUUGGUCGUACUUACAUUUUUCGGUGUUGCUCCGGCAUACGCUGUUGAAGCAACGCCAACCUUUAUUUGUCACAAUCUUCGAUCUGCUUAAUAAUUUGCCUAUUUUAUGGAUUUGGGUAGUUAAUGUGGUGCUUUAACAUUUAUUUUUCUACCUUGAAUUCUUGAUAUUUUGGAUAUUUGAAUUGCCUCUGUUUUAUUCACAUUUCGAUGACUUUAACACCUUUUUAUGGUCCGUGUUGCUCUAUUACUGUAUUAUAUAAAUUUUGGGGUUGUAUAGUUGGUGCUUCCACCCCUUUAUUAAUUAUGGAUAUGCUAGCUGUAUAUUAUAUUGAUAAUGGACAUAUACUACAUUAUUUUUGGCCAAUGAAAAUUAUUAUUAUUCAUUUUGAGGUCUCCGUAAAUAAAAAAAAUGGACUUUACGUGUAUAAAUGCGUAUUAAAGAAAUAUUUUUGGACAAUGACGAAACUUUAAUAAUAUUAUGACAAAACAAAAAAGGCUUUGUGAUUCGUAUCUUGGCAAGGAGAUUUAAACGGCCGAUUAGUCGAGCAACCAUUUCGCAGUCAUGGUGAAUCUAAAACUUAAUCCGAGCCCACACAUAUUUAAAAUUUAAUUUGAACCCACUUUUUAACAAAAAAUUACAUUUUUACAUACCUUUUUAAAUUUAUUUUUGAUAAUUAUUUAUUCGUUGCUAACCUUUUUACAAGUGUUUAUACAGGUUAUUUGAAAUACUCGUCGAGAGUUGCAUUCAAAGAUGACCUUUUAAUUUUGCAUUGUUUUUUUAUAUCCUUGUAAUUGUACAAACAUUAUUAUAGUAAAAUUUUAUUUUUUGG
rnacentral:lncRNA from 1 species